rnacentral:rRNA from 1 species
GAUGAACGCUGGCGGCGUGCCUAAUACAUGCAAGUCGAGCGAACAGACGAGGAGCUUGCUCCUCUGACGUUAGCGGCGGACGGGUGAGUAACACGUGGAUAACCUACCUAUAAGACUGGGAUAACUUCGGGAAACCGGAGCUAAUACCGGAUAAUAUCUUGAACCGCAUGGUUCAAUAGUGAAAGACGGUUUUGCUGUCACUUAUAGAUGGAUCCGCGCCGCAUUAGCUAGUUGGUACGGUAACGGCUUACCAAGGCAACGAUGCGUAGCCGACCUGAGAGGGUGAUCGGCCACACUGGAGCUGAGACACGGUCCAGACUCCUACGGGAGGCAGCAGGAGGGAAUCUGCCGCAAUGGGCGAAAGCCUGACGGAGCAACGCCGCGUGAGUGAUGAAGGUCUUCGGAUCGUAAAACUCUGUUAUUAGGGAAGAACAAAUGUGUAAGUAACUAUGCACGUCUUGACGGUACCUAAUCAGAAAGCCACGGCUAACUACGUG